rnacentral:rRNA from 1 species
GCUAAGCCAUAAACAUUGAUGGCACCCUCACCAAGCCUUCCGCCAGAAUAUUACAAGUGAAAAACUUAAAACUCAAAGGACUUGGCGGUGUCCCACCUCGACCUAGAGGAGCCUGUCCUAUAAUCGAUACUCCCCGCUCAACCCAACCUCAACUAGCAAUAUUCAGCCUAUAUACCGCCGUCGACAGUCUACCCCAUGAGGGUCCAACAGUAGACAUAAUAGCAGCCCUAUCGCUAAUACGUCAGGUCAAGGUGUAGCAAAUGUUGAGGAAGUGAUUGGCUACAUUUUUUAUUUUAAAACAUACGAAAUACAACAUGAAAUCAUGUACAAAGGUGAAUUUAGCAGUAAAAUAGGCAAGAGUGCCUACUUUAACAUCGCUCUGGGACGCGC